rnacentral:rRNA from 1 species
AGCUUGCUUCUAUGACGUUAGCGGCGGACGGGUGAGUAACACGUGGGCAACCUGCCUGUAAGACUGGGAUAACUCCGGGAAACCGGAGCUAAUACCGGAUAACAUUUUUUCUUGCAUAAGAGAAAAUUGAAAGAUGGUUUCGGCUAUCACUUACAGAUGGGCCCGCGGUGCAUUAGCUAGUUGGUGAGGUAACGGCUCACCAAGGCAACGAUGCAUAGCCGACCUGAGAGGGUGAUCGGCCACACUGGGACUGAGACACGGCCCAGACUCCUACGGGAGGCAGCAGUAGGGAAUCUUCCGCAAUGGACGAAAGUCUGACGGAGCAACGCCGCGUGAGUGAUGAAGGCUUUCGGGUCGUAAAACUCUGUUGUUAGGGAAGAACAAGUACAAGAGUAACUGCUUGUACCUUGACGGUACCUAACCAGAAAGCCACGGCUAACUACGUGCCAGCAGCCGCGGUAAUACGUAGGUGGCAAGCGUUAUCCGGAAUUAUUGGGCGUAAAGCGCGCGCAGGCGGUUUCUUAAGUCUGAUG